rnacentral:rRNA from 1 species
CCUACGGGUGGCAGCAGUGAGGAAUAUUGGUCAAUGGGCGCGAGCCUGAACCAGCCAAGUCGCGUGAGGGAGGACGGCCCUAUGGGUUGUAAACCUCUUUUGCCGGGGAGCAACGGGCGUCACGUGUGGCGCCACUGAGAGUACCCGGAGAAAAAGCAUCGGCUAACUCCGUGCCAGCAGCCGCGGUAAUACGGAGGAUGCGAGCGUUAUCCGGAUUUAUUGGGUUUAAAGGGAGCGUAGGCGGGGAUGCAAGUUGGAUGUUUAAACUAUCGGCUCAACCGGUAAUUGCAACCAAAACUGCAACUCUUGAGUGAAGUAGAGGCAGGCGGAAUUCCUAGUGUAGCGGUGAAAUGCGUAGAUAUUAGGAGGAACACCAGUGGCGAAGGCGGCCUGCUGGGCUUUAACUGACGCUGAGGCUCGAAAGCGUGGGGAGCAAACAGGAUUAGAUACCCUGGUAGUC